AAGUGAAGAGUUUGAUCCUGGCUCAGAUUGAACGCUGGCGGCAUGCCUAACACAUGCAAGUCGAACGGCAGCAUGAUCUGUAGCAAUACAGAUUGAUGGCGAGUGGCGGACGGGUGAGGAACACAUCGGAAUCUGCCCAGUUGUGGGGGAUAACCCGGGGAAACCCGGACUAAUACCGCAUACGACCCCGCAUUGACAAAUGCGUGGUGAAAGCAGGGGAUCCUUCGGGACCUUGCGCGAUUGGAUGAGCCGAUGUCGGAUUAGCUUGUUGGCGGGGUAACGGCCCACCAAGGCUACGAUCCGUAGCUGGUCUGAGAGGAUGAUCAGCCACAUUGGGACUGAGACACGGCCCAAACUCCUACGGGAGGCAGCAGUGGGGAAUAUUGGACAAUGGGGG
rnacentral:rRNA from 1 species